AGAACGAACGCUGGCGGCAUGCCUAACACAUGCAAGUCGAACGCCUGUAGCAAUACAGGAGUGGCGCACGGGUGAGUAACGCGUGGGAACCUACCCUGGAGUGGGGGAUAACCGAGAGAAAUUUCGGCUAAUACCGCAUACGACCUGAGGGUGAAAGAUUUAUCGCUCUAGGAGGGGCCCGCGUCGGAUUAGCUAGUUGGUGGGGUAACGGCCUACCAAGGCAACGAUCCGUAGCUGGUCUGAGAGGAUGAUCAGCCACACUGGGACUGAGACACGGCCCAGACUCCUACGGGAGGCAGCAGUGGGGAAUAUUGGACAAUGGGGGCAACCCUGAUCCAGCAAUGCCGCGUGAGUGAUGAAGGCCUUAGGGUUGUAAAGCUCGUUUCGGCGGGGACGAUGAUGACGGUACCGCAGAAGAAGCCCCGGCUAACUUCGCGCCAGCAGCCGC
rnacentral:rRNA from 1 species